NNNNACCUCAGAUCAGACAAGACUACCCGCUGAAUUUAAGCAUAUUAAUAAGCGGAGGAAAAGAAACUAACAAGGAUUCCCCUAGUAACGGCGAGUGAAGCGGGAAUAGCUCAAACUUAAAAUCUCUGUUGCUUGCAACAGCGAAUUGUAGUCUCGAGAAGCGUUUUCAAGAUGGAUAUACAGUGCUCAAGUUGCUUGGAACGGCACAUCGUAGAGGGUGACAAUCCCGUACGUGGCACUGUAUACUGUUCACGAUGCGCUUUCUAUGAGUCGGGUUGCUUGGGAAUGCAGCCCAAAAUGGGAGGUAAACUCCUUCUAAAGCUAAAUAUUGGCACGAGACCGAUAGCGAACAAGUACCGUGAGGGAAAGA
rnacentral:rRNA from 1 species